rnacentral:rRNA from 1 species
GAUGAACGCUGGCGGCGUGCCUAAUACAUGCAAGUCGAGCGAAUGGAUUAAGAGCUUGCUCUUAUGAAGUUAGCGGCGGACGGGUGAGUAACACGUGAGUAACCUGCCCAUAAGACUGGGAUAACUCCGGGAAACCGGGGCUAAUACCUGAUAACAUUUUGAACCGCAUGGUUCGAAAUUGAAAGGCGGCUUCGGCUGUCACUUAUGGAUGGACACGCGUCGCAUUAGCUAGUUGGUGAGGUAACGGCUCACCAAGGCAACGAUGCGUAGCCGACCUGAGAGGGCGAUCGGCCACACUGGGACUGGGACACGGCCCAGACUCCUACGGGAGGCAGCAGUAGGGAAUCUUCCGCAAUGGACGAAAGUCUGACGGAGCAACGCCGCGUGAGUGAUGAAGGCUUUCGGGUCGUAAAACUCUGUUGUUAGGGAAGAACAAGUGCUAGUUGAAUAAGCUGGCACCUUGACGGUACCUAACCAGAAAGCCACGGCUAACUACGUGCCAGCAGCCGCAGUAA